rnacentral:rRNA from 1 species
AAGCAGGGGACCUUCGGGCCUUGCGCUAUCAGAUGAGCCUAGGUCGGAUUAGCUAGUUGGUGAGGUAAUGGCUCACCAAGGCUACGAUCCGUAACUGGUCUGAGAGGAUGAUCAGUCACACUGGAACUGAGACACGGUCCAGACUCCUACGGGAGGCAGCAGUGGGGAAUAUUGGACAAUGGGCGAAAGCCUGAUCCAGCCAUGCCGUGUGUGUGAAGAAGGUCUUCGGAUUGUAAAGCACUUUAAGUUGGGAGGAAGGGCAUUAACCUAAUACGUUGGUGUCUUGACGUUACCGACAGAAUAAGCACCGGCUAACUCUGUGCCAGCAGCCGCGGUAAUACAGAGGGUGCAAGCGUUAAUCGGAAUUACUGGGCGUAAAGCGCGCGUAGGUGGUUUGUUAAGUUGAAUGUGAAAUCCCCGGGCUCAACCUGGGAACUGCAUCCAAAACUGGCAAGCUAGAGUAUGGUAGAGGGUAGUGGAAUUUCCUGUGUAGCGGUGAAAUGCGUAGAUAUAGGAAGGAACACCAGUGGCGAAGGCAACUACCUGGACUGAUACUGACAC